rnacentral:rRNA from 1 species
UACGGGGGGGUGCGAGCUAUUCGUCCGGAAUCACUGGGGCGUAAAAGGGCGCGCAGGCGGCUCUGAAAGUCAGAUGUGAAAGCCCCGGGCUUAACCUGGGAACUGCAUUUGAUACUCUAGAGCUUGAGUACGGGGAGAGGAGAGUGGAAUUCCCAGUGUAGAGGUGAAAAUUCGUAGAUAUUGGGAAGAACACCGGUGGCGAAGGCGGCUCACUGGCUCAUUUCUGACGCUCAGGCGCGACAGCGUGGGGAUCAAACAGG